UACAGUACUGCACUCCAGGAUGUCCAGUAGAGGGCAGACUAGUGACAGACCAAGUGCAACAUCUUCCUCUUCUCCCAUAACCACCACCGACAGUAGACAAGACAACACUACAGGACUGCACUCCAGGAUGUCCAAUAGAGGGCAGACUAGUGACAGACCAAGUACAACAUCCUUCUCUUCUCUAAUUACCACCGGCAGUAUACAAGACAACACUACAGGACUGUACUCCAGGAUGUCCAAUAGAGGGCAGACUAGUGACAGACCAAGUACAACAUCCUUCUCUUCUCUAAUCACCACCGGCAGUA